rnacentral:rRNA from 1 species
GACGAACGCUGGCGGCGUGCUUAACACAUGCAAGUCGAACGGAAAGGCCCUGCUUUUGUGGGGUGCUCGAGUGGCGAACGGGUGAGUAACACGUGAGUAACCUGCCCUUGACUUUGGGAUAACUUCAGGAAACUGGGGCUAAUACCGGAUAGGAGCUCCUGCUGCAUGGUGGGGGUUGGAAAGUUUCGGCGGUUGGGGAUGGACUCGCGGCUUAUCAGCUUGUUGGUGGGGUAGUGGCUUACCAAGGCUUUGACGGGUAGCCGGCCUGAGAGGGUGACCGGCCACAUUGGGACUGAGAUACGGACCAGACUCCUACGGAAGGCAGCAGUGGGGAAUAUUGCACAAUGGGCGGAAGCCUGAUGCAGCAACGCCGCGUGCGGGAUGACGGCCUUCGGGUUGUAAACCGCUUUCGCCUGUGACGAAGCGUGAGUGACGGUAAUGGGUAAAGAAGCACCGGCUAACUACGUG